rnacentral:rRNA from 1 species
AGAGUUUGAUCAUGGCUCAGAACGUACGCUGGCGGCACGCCUAACACAUGCAAGUCGAACGAAGUAGCAAUACUUAGUGGCAGACGGGUGAGUAACAUGUGGGUAUCUGCCCUUUGGCCUGGAAUAACACGAGGAAACUUGUGCUAAUACCGGAUAAGUCUUUACGGAGAAAGCUUUAUGCACCAUUGGAUGAGCCCGCACUUGAUUAGUUUGUUGGUAGGGUAAUGGCCUACCAAGACUAUGAUCAAUAGCUGAUUUGAGAGGAUGAUCAGCCACAUUGGGACUGAGACACGGCCCAAACUCCUACGGGAGGCAGCAGUGGGGAAUCUUGCACAAUGGAGGAAACUCUGAUGCAGCGAUGCCGCGUGAGUGAAGAAGGCCCUUGGGUUGUAAAGCUCUUUCGUCGGGGAAGAAAAUGACUGUACCCGAAUAAGAAGGUCCGGCUAACUUCGUGCCAGCAGCCGCGGUAAUACGAAGGGACCUAGCGUAGUUCGGAAUUACUGGGCUUAAAGAGUUCGUAGGUGGUUGAAAAAGUUGGUGGUGAAAUCCCAGAGCUUAACUCUGGAACUGCCAUCAAAACUUUUCAGCUAGAGUAUGAUAGAGGAAAGCAGAAUUUCUAGUGUAGAGGUGAAAUUCGUAGAUAUUAGAAAGAAUACCAAUUGCGAAGGCAGCUUUCUGGAUCAUUACUGACACUGAGGAACGAAAGCAUGGGUAGCGAAGAGGAUUAGAUACCCUCGUAGUCCAUGCCGUAAACGAUGUGUGUUAGACGUUGGAAAUUUAUUUUCAGUGUCGCAGCGAAAGCGAUAAACACACCGCCUGGGGAGUACGACCGCAAGGUUAAAACUCAAAUGAAUUGACGGGGACCCGCACAAGUAGUGGAGCAUGUGGUUUAAUUCGAAGAUACGCGCAGAACCUUACCAACACUUGACAUGUUCGUCGCGACUCUAAGAGAUUAGAGUUUUCGGUUCGGCCGGACGAAACACAGGUGCUGCAUGGCUGUCGUCAGCUCGUGUCGUGAGAUGUUGGGUUAAGUCCCGCAACGAGCGCAACCCUCACUUUUAGUUGCCAUCAUUAAGUUGGGCACUCUGAAAGAACUGCCAGUGAUAAGCUGGAGGAAGGUGGGGAUGACGUCAAGUCCUCAUGGCCCUUACGUGUUGGGCUACACACGUGCUACAAUGGUAUCUACAACAGGAAGCAAAACGGCAACGUUAAGCAAAUCCCAAAAAGAUACCUCAGUUCGGAUUGCACUCUGCAACUCGAGUGCAUGAAGCUGGAAUUACUAGUAAUCGUGGAUCAGCGUGCCACGGUGAAUGCGUUCCCGGGUCUUGUACACACCGCCCGUCACACCAUGGGAGUUGGUUCUACCUUAAGGCAAGGUUUUAAACCCUUGACCACGGUAUAGUCAGCGACUGGGGUGAAGUCGUAACAAGGUA